rnacentral:misc_RNA from 1 species
CAACCCUCACAACCGGCUUUCUUGCUGGAUGUGGUGUUGGGGAUCGGCUGCCUCUCUUCUAGGUGGCCGGCCCCGAAAUAGAGUGGCGGUCUCGUCGUGGCCUCCUCUGCGUAGUAGCAAUAUCUCGCAGGCGGAGAGCGGCGUGGCUAUGCCGUAAAACCCCCCAACUUUUUCAG